UACGUAGGGGGCAAGCGUUGUCCGGAAUUAUUGGGCGUAAAGAGCGCGUAGGCGGUCCGGUAAGUCGGCUGUGAAAGUCAAGGGCUCAACCCUUGAAAGCCGGCCGAUACUGUCGGACUAGAGUCCGGAAGAGGCGAGUGGAAUUCCCGGUGUAGCGGUGAAAUGCGCAGAUAUCGGGAGGAACACCAAUGGCGAAGGCGGUUCUCUGGGACGGUACUGACGCUGAGACGCGAAAGCGUGGGGAGCGAACAGG
rnacentral:rRNA from 1 species